rnacentral:lncRNA from 1 species
GACCCACCGGUAUCUCUUUCGAGAACCUUGAUCCCCUGGACCGGAGCUUUGCUUACCUGCGCCUGGUCCGCCUGAUCAACCUCCAGACCGGUAUCCAUGAUCACCUGAUCAACAAGGUGGCCAGCUUCAUCGACGACCUUCAUCGGGCGCGUCUGAAGUUGCGGUGUGAAUAUCGGAUCUAGGUCCGAUUGGCGAGGUACCUUUCUCCUUGUCUUCUCUAUUUUCUCUUCGCUUUGUUAAGUGAAUGAAUCAGAGGUAGCAAAUAAAAAAUUAUUUCCUUCAAUUUUUUGGUUAUUUUUUAUUACUAUUUCAAUCUGUAUCAAAUGGCGAUGAUUAGUAUUUUAAACAGUAUGAUAUAGGACUUAUAGUAGAGAUAACAGUUGGUUUGUUAAUAACAUGUUAAUCAAAAAUUUGAGAUUUUAGAUUCUGACAUUUGAUAUUUAUCUAAACAUAAAUCUGUUUAAAUAUAAAUUCUGAUCUUAGACCGUCAAAAAAACUUAAUUUGCUAAUUAGAUAAUACCUUAUUUUUUGAUUUCUCUCUUCUUUCUGGAAAUUCUAUGCACAUACGUCCGAUUGUUUCUCACGUAGCAUAUUAUAAAAGAUACAUCCAAUCAAACUCAUAUUUUUAUUAUAUCUAUAAAUAAAAAAAGAAAGGGAUCGUAUUUCUUAUCCAUAUUAAUUGAGUGAACUAAAGUGCAUUCAUUAAGCAUUAUCUCGGAUUGAGUAAUAUUGCUUCAAUCAAAAUUACUAAUUUUUAAUGUAUCUGGAUUUGGUUAUUUGUGAUAUAUCUUUGCACUUUAGAUGAAUUCUAUUCUAAAGAAGGCACCUUCCAUUAUGUGGACAAGAAUCGGAUAAUAUCAAAACUUAAUUUAUUUAUUCGGUGUAUGCAAAAAGCCGUUAAUCAAAUAAAAUAUAAAAUAAUAGAGUUUUACUAAAAGAUUUUUAAUAUUUUAGAAGAAAGAUUUCCAACAAUAAUAAUGGUAGAAAUAAUUUGACCAUACUUACAAUGACAUUCUUUAUUUCACUUUGCAUAGAGUUGGAAUUAUUUUAUUGAUCUUAUAUUACUGCCAAAAGAUUUUGAGAAGAUCAAAAUCAUAAGUGCUCUUUAGAUUGUCAACUUCUCGUAUCUACAAAAUUGAGGGUGUGAGGCAAAGCCUCACAUUGGACCAACCUGUCCCUUUAGUUGGCCCAGACCAAAGAAGCCAGUCCAUUGGCUUGGCUUGCAUGUUGCAUGCAUUGGAGAAAUGAAAGACUCCCGAUAAAAAUCUUUUUCUCCAACAAGUUUAGAAAGAAAAAAAGACUCCUAAAAAAUCGACUAUAAAUAGGAAUCCCUCCCUUCCAUGAUCCUCCACCAUGAUCUAUCUCUCUUCUUUCUUCAUUUUUUUCUUAUUUUUGCCAGUUUUCGUUCAUUAUAGCUACUAGAAAAUCAAGCAAUAGAGACGACCGUAUCCUAAGAUAAACCCUAAUUCUCCUUCCUCUUCCAUUUCCUCAAUGAUAAGAUUUCUUUCUAUCUGAAUUUCGUUGACAAAUUGGCUAGAAAUUGAUCAAAAAAAAAUUUUGUUCAUAUACCCUAUUUUCUGAUUUAUUUUUUUUUUCCAACAACCAGCACCACCUUUGGACACUAGAUGCGAGUUCCUUGGUCACUAGUGAACGAUUAAAGAUCAAAAAAAAAAUGAAAAGAACCUUUGUUCCCUAUAUUUUGAUCUUUAUCUCCUUAUUUUCCUUUCGGUCAAUCACUACAGCUAGCUAUCAAUCAUUGUUUCUUUAUGUUAUUUUCUUUUGUGAUUUAAUAACAGUGGUGCCAUUUCAGAAGUUGAUGGUGUUUGUUUUGCAAUUCUUUGCUAAUUAACUUUAUGUUAUUUUCUUUUGUUUCUCUCUUUUUCAGGCCGAAGUCCAGGGAGAAAUGGUGAACGCUAUUGGCGUGAAUUCAUUGGGUGGGU